UAUAGAGACCAUACACGGUGAAGAAAAGCAGCAUCGCUUUUCUGACUGGAGAGUAAACAAUAGGGCGAUUGUCGGCUUACACGGUGGGGCCAAUAGCCCUACUGCUGAGGAGCUCUAUGUAAAAACCAAGAUCAGCAAGCAGUCUUGAUGUUUUCUUCUCGGAGUUGGAUGUUGUCAAGGAUUCAGAUGAGCCACCCCAGUCUCAAGCACGUCACUCUGAACCACACAAUUAGUUCUGAAGAGCAUGGAGCCUACAUAGAUUCAUAAGGUAAAUGAUUAAUUUCAAAAUAUGAUGUCAGAGAUUCAAUUACAGUAUGAAUUCCAGCAUUGUAUAAAUAUGUUGUUUUUCAUUCAUCUUUUGGAGAUUGGGUAGUGCUGUGGGAACAAUAAACUGCAUUUGUGGGUUGGCUCUCUGCA
rnacentral:lncRNA from 12 species